AUUGAACGCUGGCGGCAGGCUUAACACAUGCAAGUCGAGCGGAUGAGUGGAGCUUGCUCCAUGAUUCAGCGGCGGACGGGUGAGUAAUGCCUAGGAAUCUGCCUGGUAGUGGGGGACAACGUUUCGAAAGGAACGCUAAUACCGCAUACGCCCUACGGGAGAAAGUGGGGGAUCUGCGGACCUCACGCUAUCAGAUGAGCCUAGGUCGGAUUAGCUAGUUGGUGAGGUAAAGGCUCACCAAGGCGACGAUCCGUAACUGGUCCGAGAGGAUGAUCAGGUACACUGGAACUGAGACGCGGUCCCGACUCCUACGGGAGGCAGCAGUGGUGAAUAUUGGACAAUGGGCGAAAGCCUGAUCCAGCCAUGCCGCGUGUGUGAAGAAGGUCUUCGGAUUGUAAAGCACUUUAAGUUGGGAGGAAGGGCAGUAAGUUAAUACCUUGCUGUUUUGACGUUACCAACAGAAUAAGCACCGGCUAACUUCGUGCCAGCCGCCGCGGUAACAC
rnacentral:rRNA from 1 species